CAGUCGAACGAUGAUGCCCAGCUUGCUGGGUGGAUUAGUGGCGAACGGGUGAGUAACACGUGAGUAACCUGCCCCUGACUCUGGGAUAAGCGUUGGAAACGACGUCUAAUACUGGAUAUGACUGCCGGCCGCAUGGUCUGGUGGUGGAAAGAUUUUUUGGUUGGGGAUGGACUCGCGGCCUAUCAGCUUGUUGGUGAGGUAAUGGCUCACCAAGGCGACGACGGGUAGCCGGCCUGAGAGGGUGACCGGCCACACUGGGACUGAGACACGGCCCAGACUCCUACGGGAGGCAGCAGUGGGGAAUAUUGCACAAUGGGCGAAAGCCUGAUGCAGCAACGCCGCGUGAGGGAUGACGGCCUUCGGGUUGUAAACCUCUUUUAGUAGGGAAGAAGCGAAAGUGACGGUACCUGCAGAAAAAGCACCGGCUAACUACGUGCCAGCAGCCGCGGUAAUACGUAGGGUGCAAGCGUUGUCCGGAAUUAUUGGGCGUAAAGAGCUCGUAGGCGGUUUGUCGCGUCUGCUGUGAAAUCCCGAGGCUCAACCUCGGGCUUGCAGUGGGUACGGGCAGACUAGAGUGCGGUAGGGGAGAUUGGAAUUCCUGGUGUAGCGGUGGAAUGCGCAGAUAUCAGGAGGAACACCGAUGGCGAAGGCAGAUCUCUGGGCCGUAACUGACGCUGAGGAGCGAAAGCAUGGGGAGCGAACAGGAUUAGAUACCCUGGUAGUCCAUGCCGUAAACGUUGGGCGCUAGAUGUAGGGACCUUUCCACGGUUUCUGUGUCGUAGCUAACGCAUUAAGCGCCCCGCCUGGGGAGUACGGCCGCAAGGCUAAAACUCAAAGGAAUUGACGGGGGCCCGCACAAGCGGCGGAGCAUGCGGAUUAAUUCGAUGCAACGCGAAGAACCUUACCAAGGCUUGACAUACACCGGAAACGGCCAGAGAUGGUCGCCCCCUUGUGGUCGGUGUACAGGUGGUGCAUGGUUGUCGUCAGCUCGUGUCGUGAGAUGUUGGGUUAAGUCCCGCAACGAGCGCAACCCUCGUUCUAUGUUGCCAGCGCGUUAUGGCGGGGACUCAUAGGAGACUGCCGGGGUCAACUCGGAGGAAGGUGGGGAUGACGUCAAAUCAUCAUGCCCCUUAUGUCUUGGGCUUCACGCAUGCUACAAUGGCCGGUACAAAGGGCUGCGAUACCGUAAGGUGGAGCGAAUCCCAAAAAGCCGGUCUCAGUUCGGAUUGAGGUCUGCAACUCGACCUCAUGAAGUCGGAGUCGCUAGUAAUCGCAGAUCAGCAACGCUGCGGUGAAUACGUUCCCGGGCCUUGUACACACCGCCCGUCAAGUCAUGAAAGUCGGUAACACCCGAAGCCGGUGGCCUAACC
rnacentral:rRNA from 2 species